UGCAUGAAUCACGGUUUCAUUUAUUAUGGUUUGAACUAUUAUGAACCCGAUGUUGUGUUAUCUUAUUUGAUGUCAAUUACUAGUUUACGUGUUUAUGUUUGAUUGAAUAAUUGAGAUUAAGAAAAAUAGAAAAAGGUAUGUGAAUUGAUAAAUGGAUAAUGUCGAUAGCCUAACUAGAUAUCCUGAGAGAUGGUGGACAAAUCGGGUCCAUAUGGAACCCUACGAGGAACGUGGUCUCUCAUAUUGGACGGGGUAUGGAGACUUUAUGUGUUUUGGUGCCCAUAUCGGACGGGGUAUGGGGACGGCCCGUUUCACCCUCAUACCAGACGGGGUAUUGAGGUUUAUGGUUUUGGCGCCCAUACCAGACAGGGUAUGGGGAUGGCUCUGAAAUUAAGUUAUUAAUGUGAAUAGUUCAC
rnacentral:lncRNA from 1 species